GCGGAUGUGGCGAAAUUGGCAUACGCGCCAGACUUAGGAUCUGGUGGGGCAACCCGUGGGAGUUCGACCCUCCCCAUCCGCACAA
rnacentral:tRNA from 1 species